UAGGGAAUCUUCGGCAAUGGACGAAAGUCUGACCGAGCAACGCCGCGUGAGUGAAGAAGGUCUUAGGACCGUAAAACUCUGUUGUUAGAGAAGAACAAGGACGUUAGUAACUGAACGUCCCCUGACGGUAUCUAACCAGAAAGCCACGGCUAACUACGUGCCAGCAGCCGCGGUAAUACGUAGGUGGCAAGCGUUGUCCGGAUUUAUUGGGCGUAAAGCGAGCGCAGGCGGUUUCUUAAGUCUGAUGUGAAAGCCCCCGGCUCAACCGGGGAGGGUCAUUGGAAACUGGGAGACUUGAGUGCGGAAGAGGGGAGUGGAAUUCCGUGUGUGGCGGUGAAAUGCGUAGAUAUAUGGAGGAACACCAGUGGCGAAGGCGGCUCUCUGGUCUGUAACAGACAAUGAGGCUCGAAAGCGUGGGGAGCAAACAGG
rnacentral:rRNA from 1 species